rnacentral:rRNA from 1 species
GAUGAACGCUAGCUACAGGCUUAACACAUGCAAGUCGCGGGGCAGCAUGGGGGUUGCUUGCAAUCCCCGAUGGCGACCGGCGCACGGGUGAGUAACGCGUAUCCAACCUGCCCUUCACCACGGGAUAACCCGGCGAAAGUCGGACUAAUACCGUAUGUUGUCCAUUGACGGCAUCCGAUUUGGACGAAAGGCUUGGCGGUGAGGGAUGGGGAUGCGUCCGAUUAGCCAGACGGCGGGGUAACGGCCCACCGUGGCUACGAUCGGUAGGGGUUCUGAGAGGAAGGUCCCCCACACUGGAACUGAGACACGGUCCAGACUCCUACGGGAGGCAGCAGUGAGGAAUAUUGGUCAAUGGGCGUAAGCCUGAACCAGCCAAGUAGCGUGCAGGAUGACGGCCCUAUGGGUUGUAAACUGCUUUUAUGCGGGGAUAAAGUGGCCCACGUGUGGGCUUUUGCAGGUUCCGCAUGAAUAAGGACCGGCUAAUUCCGUG